rnacentral:sRNA from 1 species
AUGUAUCACGCGAACACUGCGGUUCCUCUGCGCCGUCCGCACCCAGCUGGCGACUGCUUGCUGCGUUUAAUUAGCC